rnacentral:rRNA from 1 species
UACGUAGGUGGCAAGCGUUGUCCGGAUUUACUGGGCGUAAAGAGCGCGCAGGCGGUCGUUCAAGUCGCGUGUGAAAGCCCCCGGCUCAACUGGGGAGGGUCACGCGAUACUGAUCGACUCGAAGGCAGGAGAGGGAAGUGGAAUUCCCGGUGUAGUGGUGAAAUGCGUAGAUAUCGGGAGGAACACCAGUGGCGAAGGCGGCUCACUGGACCGGUACUGACGCUGAGGCGCGAAAGCGUGGGGAGCAAACGGG